GCCCGGGUGGCGGAAUUGGCUUACGCGUACGACUCAAAAUCGUAUAGGAAUAAUCCUGUGUGGGUUCGAGUCCCACCCCGGGCAC
rnacentral:tRNA from 1 species